rnacentral:lncRNA from 1 species
AACUGUUUCCAGAGGCAUGUGAGUAAAAGUAAGCAGCAAAAGCAAUAACCAGAAGACACAAUGCCAUAGAGAACUAACUUGAUAUUUUCUCUGCUCCUCAGCUUUUCUACGAUUUUCUUCAGCCAAUAUGACCUGACGAGCAAGUUCCAGUCUCUGCUUAUUCUGUUGAUCUUCAAGCUCAGCUGCCUCACAGUGAACUUUUGCAGCCUCAAGCAAAUGCUUGCAAUAUCCAACAUGAGUUUCAAAUCUCUGCUUAUUCUGUUGAUCUUCACGCUCAGCUGCCUCACAGUGAACUUUUGCAGCCUCAAGCAAAUGCUUGCAAUAUCCAACGUGAGUUUCAAUUUUUUUCUCAUCAAAUCCAUGAACAUGAAGAUUUGAAGCUGCAGACAAUAGACUGAAUAAGCGAACUGCAUUCUUCAGCUCUGCAACCGUUGCUCUCACCU